rnacentral:rRNA from 1 species
GUGGGGAAUUUUGGACAAUGGGCGCAAGCCUGAUCCAGCAAUGCCGCGUGCAGGAAGAAGGCCUUCGGGUUGUAAACUGCUUUUGUACGGAACGAAACGGUCCGGGUUAAUACCCUGGGCUAAUGACGGUACCGUAAGAAUAAGCACCGGCUAACUACGUGCCAGCAGCCGCGGUAAUACGUAGGGUGCAAGCGUUAAUCGGAAUUACUGGGCGUAAAGCGUGCGCAGGCGGUUUUGUAAGACAGGCGUGAAAUCCCCGGGCUCAACCUGGGAAUUGCGCUUGUGACUGCAAGGCUAGAGUGUGUCAGAGGGAGGUGGAAUUCCGCGUGUAGCAGUGAAAUGCGUAGAGACGCGGAGGAACACCGAUGGCGAAGGCAGCCUCCUGGGAUAACACUGACGCUCAGGCACGAAAGCGUGGGGAGCAAACAGGAUUAGAAACCCGAGUAGUCC